rnacentral:rRNA from 1 species
GCCCAAUGGUCUUAAAGUCAAAAUAAACGAGAAUUAUUUAAUAAAACUAAAAGGACGCAGUAACCUUGACUGUGAUAAUGUAGCAUAAUCACUCGCCAUUUAAUUGAUGGAUAGUAUGAAUGGUUGAACGAAUAUUCCACUGUCUUAAAAAGAAAUAACAAAAAAUUAAAAUAAUAGUCAAGAUGCUAUUUAAAAUUGUAAGACGAAAAGACCCUAUAGAGCUUAACUAUAGUCUCUUUAAAAACCAAAAGAAUAAAAUAUUUAAGAAUAAAGAGAUUGGUAGUUUAGUUGGGACGACUAUCUUCUAAAAAUAACGAAGAGAAGCAAAGUUAAUAAAAAACUUAUUGUAUAAUAAAUAAAUUUAACAAUUACAAAAGUAGGUUAUAAUGACCCGUUAAACAAGUAUAAAAAACUUUAACGAUCAAUAAAUAAAAGCUACCUUAGGGAUAACAGGAUAAUUUCAUUUUAGAGAUCCAAUCGAAAAUGAAGUUUGUCACCUCUAUGUUGAAUUAAGAUAUCCUGAUAAUGCAGAAGUUAUCAAAGGUAGGUCU